GACGAGGUUGUCGAGUGGUUAAGACGAUGGACUGCCAAUUCACUGGGUUCUGCGCGCGUGGGUUCGAAUCUCAUCCUCCUCG